rnacentral:rRNA from 1 species
GACAGAGGUGCCGAGCGUUAGGCGGAAUCACUGGGCUUAAAGCGCGUGUAGGCGGAUCGUUAAGUACCUUGUGAAAUCCCACGGCUCAACCGUGGAACUGCUGGGUAUACUGGCGGUCUUGAGCCACCUAGGGGCGAGCGGAACAAGCGGUGGAGCGGUGAAAUGCGUAGAUAUCGCUUGGAACGCCAACGGUGAAAACAGCUCGCUGGGGGUGUGCUGACGCUGAGACACGAAAGCCAGGGGAGCAAACGGG